UCGAUCAAUUCAUUCAUCAGAGUCUAAAGAACUUUGGCAAUGGUGUGAAUACCCAAUUUCGGGAGGAUCGAUGGCUGGGACAUUCUGCUCCAAAGCUCGGAUUUCGUUGUCUUUAUGUACUCACCUUCUAUCAUAGAAGCCGCCAUUGCUGAAUUGUGGUCUAACGAAGCUGCCUCUUGGAGUCUUACUGAGAAGAAAUCUGUUGUUGGACGAUGAAAUCGAGAUUACAAAAGAAGGAUGCUUCAAGUAUGAUAUAGGUACCACAAAUCUCUUCUUUUGAAUAUCUCCCACAUAGACUGCAAUGUGGCCUUUGGGAACAUCAGAUUGAUUUCUUGCCGAUAGAGCUUGCAUUUUCAGAAUCUGCUUGGCAUUAAGAAGAAUCGAUGGUAAACGGAUUCCCAUAUCGGAAAUUUCCCUGAAACAAGAGAGGGGUGACUGACUUUGAAUGGUGUUCUGCUUGAUUUUGAAUUUGAUGUAGGAAAUAGAGUACUGGUUGGAUGAGAAUGGCUUUAUUUCUGAUGUAUAUUUAUAAACUAGGAACCGGAGAGGAGAACAAAAAAAUAUGGCAGAUAGGUGUGUUUGAGGCCUACUUCUCCAAAGGCUCACAUGGGUUUGCUCUAUAUAUUAGAAUUUCUUUCAUUUC